rnacentral:rRNA from 1 species
GGUGCAGCAGUCGGGAAUCUUCCGCAAUGGACGAAAGUCUGACGGAGCAACGCCGCGUGAGUGAUGAAGGCUUUCGGGUCGUAAAACUCUGUUGUUAGGGAAGAACAAGUACGAGAGUAACUGCUCGUACCUUGACGGUACCUAACCAGAAAGCCACGGCUAACUACGUGCCAGCAGCCGCGGUAAUACGUAGGUGGCAAGCGUUAUCCGGAAUUAUUGGGCGUAAAGCGCGCGCAGGCGGUUUCUUAAGUCUGAUGUGAAAGCCCACGGCUCAACCGUGGAGGGUCAUUGGAAACUGGGGAACUUGAGUGCAGAAGAGAAAAGCGGAAUUCCACGUGUAGCGGUGAAAUGCGUAGAGAUGUGGAGGAACACCAGUGGCGAAGGCGGCUUUUUGGUCUGUAACUGACGCUGAGGCGCGAAAGCGUGGGGAGCAAACAGGAUUAGAUACCCCUGUAGUCCG